rnacentral:rRNA from 1 species
CAGCAGUGGGGAAUAUUGCACAAUGGGCGCAAGCCUGAUUCUUUCCUAGGAGAUGACCGCGAGUAUGAAGAAGGCCUUCGGGUUGUAAAGUACUUUCAGCGGGGAGGAAGGGGAGUAAAGUUAAUACCUUUUUCUUAGUACGUACCCGCAGAAGAGCACCGGCAAACCUCCUAACUCCUGUG